GGGGGUUUAGCUCAGUGGCAUAGCGCCUGCCUGGCAAGCACAAGGUCCUGGGUUUGAUUCCCAUGUCCCCUC
rnacentral:tRNA from 1 species